rnacentral:rRNA from 1 species
ACAGAGGGUGCGAGCGUUAAUCGGAAUUACUGGGCGUAAAGGGUGCGUAGGUGGUUAAAUAAGUAACAUGUUAAAGUCCCGGGCUUAACCUGGGGAGGCCAUGUUAAACUGUUUAGCUAGAGUGUUGUAGAGGAAAGUGGAAUUUCCGGUGUAGCGGUGAAAUGCGUAGAUAUCGGAAGGAACACCAGUGGCGAAGGCGACUUUCUGGACAGAUACUGACACUGAGGCACGAAAGCGUGGGGAGCAAACAGGA